rnacentral:lncRNA from 1 species
UUCAAAAUUUAUCCUUAUUUUUAAUCACAUAUUUUCCAUCAAAUCACUAUUCCAAAAAAAAAAAAAGACAUCAAACGAGCUUGUAAUAUUUUAUUGGAUCGAUGGUCGACAGUCAACGGUCACCCGUGCUAACUCAAAAUCCUAGAUUCGCUACUGUCUCUAGUGCCACCAUCAUUGUCAAUAACUCACCACAACCAUCAGCACCACCACCACCACAACCACAACCAUCCCAAAACCCCAACAUCAUCAAAACAUGGAAAUCACUACCACCCAUCUAACAACCAAAAAGAAUCAUCACCACUGCGAUCUGCCACGAUCUGGGCUACUUUCAGCACAAUUUCGCAGUGAAGGAAAAUUCAUCACGACUGCGAUCUACUACAUUGCAGCCACAAUUUUCGUUGUUGUAGUCGUUUUCUGGGCCACUGCAGUCAGAUCUGCAAAGUCUACGGCAGCGCUCACAAUGAAGGAAUGGAUUUACCCUUUGAUUUGCAGAGCUCCAACGCGAUUUAACGAUGGCUCUCACCUCGAAAAUGGCAUAGAGACAGUCUCCCGGCAAUGGUGCUCUCCGACAAUGACGGUUGAGGAAGAGUUUAUAGAGUCGAGAGAGAAAUGAUGAGAUAUAGAGAGAGAAAGGAGAAGGAAGAAUGAUGAGAAAUUUAGGGUUUAUGAGUGAGGUGGGGGCAGAUGGGAAUAUGUUUAUUAUAAGUUUAUUUUAUAAUAUUAUUAUUAAUAUUUAAAAUUUUGAUUAUAUCUGAUUUUUGGGAAAUGGUGAU